AAUACGUCUUUGCUCUCCGAAAUUAAUCACGAAAAUAACCAAAGUGCGGAAUGCGUCGUGCGUCGUGCGAUCGUCUCGAGUAACUGAAGAGAUCUCUCGCAGCGUCAGCAAGAUCGAUCGAUGUGGAUGUGGGCGAGUUUGAGGCGAUGGGGGAACCAAAAUACCGAUGGGGGCUGGUUUUGCCUUUUCUGAAUGUCGCUGGUGCCGCAUCUUCACUGCGAAAACCAGUUUGAAUUAUAGCAAUCCCGAACCGAUUGAUACAAGCUUUGUUUUCAAUGCAUAGCUAAAGCAUAAAAUCGAUGUUUUGGUUGCAAAAGAAAACUGCUCACUUGAAUAUAGAAUGUCCAUUAAAUACUUAGCAUUCUUAAUCCUGCUAUUGCCGCUGAUUAUUGUCAACGCUCAAAAAUCACGAAUCUUCUGCAGAGGAAAACGGGGAUGGGGCCAAUGCACAGCCAAUAAUAAGGAAUGCAACCUUCGACGCUAUAGAGACAGAUUUUGCGGGCCCAACACCAUGUGUUGUGCAAUGUAAGAAAUUAAAUUAAACUUGUGAAAUAAAAGCUUUACUGAUUAGUUCCCUACAGUUGA